rnacentral:rRNA from 1 species
GGACUCGGGGGGAAGUAUGCUCGCAAGGGUGAAACUUAAAGGAAUUGACGGAAGGGCACCACCAGAUGUGGAGCCUGCGGCUUAAUUUGACUCAACACGCGAAAACUUACCAGGUCCAGACAUAGUAAGGAUUGACAGAUUGAAGUUCUUUCUUGAUUCUAUGCAUGGUGGUGCAUGGCCGUUCUUAGUUGGUGGAGUGAUUUGUCUGGUUAAUUCCGAUAACGAACGAGACCUCAGCCAUCUAACUAGCUGCCGCUAACGCGCUAGCGGUUCGCCGUUGCGCCUAGUGCUUACGCAAGUAAACGCAGCUUCUUAGAGGGACAAUCUGCGCUCAGCAGAUGGAAGUUUGAGGCAAUAACAGGUCAGUGAUGCCCUUAGAUGCUCUGGGCUGCACGCGCGCUACAAUGAUGCAUUCAACGAGCCGACCUGGCUUGAAAAGGCCGGGGAAUCUUCAAAGUGCAUCUUAGUGGGGAUAGAUGAUUGCAAUUGUUCAUCUUGAACAAGGAAUAUCUAGUAAACGCAAGUCAUCAACUUGCAUUGAAUACGUCCCUGCCCUUUGUACACACCGCCCGUCGCUCCUACCGAUUGAAUAAUACGGUGAAUUGAGUGGAUUGGGGGCUGCCGAGAGGCGGUUCCUUAGAAGCUCUGUAAACAUUAUUAUUUAGAGGAAGGAAAAGUCGUAACAAGG